AAGUCGUAACAAGGUUUCCGUAGGUGAACCUGCGGAAGGAUCAUUACCAUAUCCAAAACUUUACCAACCCACCGUGUGAACUGUUUGUAUGCUGUGGCUUGUAAAAAAGGCCCGGCAUCCAAUUUUUCCAUGUUUUCUCCAUUCUGUGGAGAAGCAUGGAGCCCUAUGUGUAAACUCUUUUUGAAACCGACCAUUGAAAACCUGAUGUAGUUUUUCUUCUUCGGGAGAAGAACCAUUGCCAAAACAAACCAAUAGACAACUUACAACGGUGGAUCUCUUGGCUCGU
rnacentral:misc_RNA from 1 species